ACGAAAAAGUUAGGUGGCCUGUUAAUAACAGAAAGGCUAGGAGUAUUGGUUAGCUAAUAGAAAAAAAAAAAGGUAUUGCUAACAGAACAAAAGCUAGCAGUCACCAUUUGCAGAACAAAUCAGGCACAGCAAACAGGAGAAAAGCUGCCAGGGCAGCUAACAGAACAAGAUUAGCAGGAGUAGCUAACAAAGCGGCUACCAGGCAAUGCUAGCAUGCUCAGCUAACAGAGCUAAAAUCCAUGCUCACUGCUAACAUAGCUUACACCUGUGCCAAAAGCUAAAUGAACUAUAACUAGCGCACACUGAAAGGAAAAUCAAAUGGCCUAAACAAAUCCUGUUUCCUAUUUUCAUUCAGAAAUCUUUAAAUGCAAACAUCAUGAAAUAUCGACAACUUGUCAUUACAAACCCAAAUGUUUUCAGUUCAGAAAAAUAAAUUACCUGUUUCUACCAGUAGUUCAGAAAAAAUAUGUUUUCCAAUUUAUUUUAUUUUGCUAGUUUGAAGCCGUUAUCAUUUAUGACCAAUUCAGUCCUGAUAAAACUUUUAAAACUCUGACAAGAAACAUUUUGUCCUUUUGUUGUAAUGUUUUCUAAAACCUCAGGAACUUAUUUUCUUCAUUCGUAGCCUCUUUGCUGCUGUCAGUUAUGCUGUCAGCCUCACCUGGAUGCCUGCAUUGUUGUGAAAUCCACAUUCCCUGUUAAAGAGCUGAUCUGGUGGCAGCAUAACAAACUGAUGAGACGGAUCACAGAGGCUUUUAUACCUUCAGAUGUUCAGCCGUGUUAUCUGCCCAUUUUAGAGACAGAUGAUCAAAGUGUUUGCUUUUUUGUAUUUCUGUCUUAUCUAAAUCAGGGACAAAGUACAUAGUAAAUAAGAGGAAAAUUUGCUCAACUGCCAUUGAGAGAGAUUAUUUAAUAGAUGCAAAUAUACAAAGUUUUUCUACUGCUGAAGAUCUACAAGCUAUUUGUUCACCACAAAAACAGAUAAAUGAAAAGAAAAAGAGGCUAAGUAGGUUAGAAAAUCAUAUUUUAAUCAGGAAUGUAAAAAUGGUCAUUCUUACCGUAUCUAGAAAUGUUAUGUGAUGAUAAAACCUGUUGCUAGCACAUUGAGAUACAUGGAGAGAUACGUAAGCCAUCCAUAAAAAGAUGAUUUUUUAAAAUAAUAAAAUGCUGAAAUUGAUCAGAAUCUGUUAAAUCUUCCUCUGACUCCAGUGUCAAGUCAGGUUUUAACUUAAAGAGCAACAGAUCUUUGCUACACAGCAAACUAGCUAGCAGAAACAAGCGGUGAUGUGUUAGCUUACUAGCUAACAGCUGUUAGCCAGUUUCAGUCAGACUGCAGUUCUGGCUAAAACCUGCAGAAUAAUUUAUUAUAAUUCUUUGCAUAUGUGAACGCCAAGCGGACUAGAGACCUCUCCAAACACACAAAGUAGACUGCAGCACAGGGCAUUCUGGGUAAAUACAAUGAGAACAAACGUGUUAGCCUAGCGCUAGCAGGAGGUUCAUGGUCUUUAACCAAAGACAAAAUAGAAAUCCUACAAGCACUAAAAUCUGACGCUGCUUCAUCUCUGUUUACAUUUCAUGAAGAGGGAAGUUUUGCUCAGUGUCUUUUAUAGAGAUUUUUAUGUUGUUUCCUUCAGUGGCUCUUGGUGCAGCGCCCCCACAGGCCAGGAGGGGAACAGGUUUUUCAAAAGUUCAAUUGGUUUCUCUCAGAGCAGUGAGAAAGAGAACAGCUGCUGCUGGAAAUGGAAGAAAUGUAGCAAUUUUAGUCCCCAAUCAAACAAGUAUAUCGCACAGUGAAAUGGGAAAACUAGAUUUUUGAUCAACUGUGACAAAAUAAAUUCAGAAAUAGAAGAAAUCGGUAAGGUUGAAGGUCGUCCUUUAAAUGUCCAUAUUUGGUGGUUUUGGGAGCCUCUAUCCUCCAUUUCUGAAACGUUUACAUCUGUUUUAAAGCUCACAGUGAGAAUAGUAAACUAUGGGAUCAAUCACUAAGUCACGUCUCAAUGUGCCUUUAGAAACCACCCAGAGUGCAAAAUUCAUGUUCCACAUUCAGAAAGACCCUUCAAUGUCAACCAGACAUAAUUAAAAAACAUUUAAUGGAUUUUGUUUCCACUCGGGGUUUCUCCUUCAUGUUCAGUUUGAAAAUAUGAACUAAUACUAAACAAAGCUCAAUUAUUGUGCAGGUUAACCCUUUUUUCCCCUCUAAUGGUCUCAUUAAAUGCCACCUGAAUAAUAAAAUGACAGCGACUUGGAGGCUGGGACUCACAGAGCAGCAGUUUCUACCAGCUAUUAUCUUUAAUGCUGUCUGUGGGCGCUGAGUGGAUUACUCAGCUGUGACGCCGCCGUUGCUCCACGCUCAUUAUCUCCUGUGGACAGCUGUCACGCAACUCACCGCUCCCACUCGGGAGAACAAUAACUGUUCCAUUAUUCUCUUCAGAGUGGCCGACGCCGCGGACAGGUUGCUGCAUUCAGGUAGCGCCGGUCGCCAUGACGCUGAUGUUGAAGACAGUCGAGGCGGCGGCGGCAACGACUCGCUGUGCCUCAAAGUGACAAGUUAUUAUAGAAAGAGACGAGUCGGAGAGACGAACGUCGUCUAUCAGCUGGAAGACUGGCACCAACACAGCAUAACAUUAUGACCGCUUUGCUCUUCUUCAUGGCUCCUGUUAGUGGCUCCAGGACGGGCAGGGAGUGUCAGAGGAAAUUUGAGGAUUUAGACCACUCGUCCGCUCCGCCAUCUGUUUGGCUGCCCGACCAGCUGCUCGCGCUCCGCCGACCCGGCAUCGGCCCUGCCGUGCCGCUGACCCGCCGUAAACUGCGCGCGGCGGCAGACGGAGCACGCUCCCGACCCGCGCCGGUUCUGACCCCGGAUUUGUCGCAGGAGAGAAUGCAGAGUUACUGAGACCGCAGCUGCAUACUGAUGGUGUUUCUGUGAGGUGAAUUAUCCUGAACGCUGCCCUUUAGCCUUUCGCUAUCGGCUUCGCAGAAAAGAUUCAAGCAGUUCAGCUCUCACUCUAACCUGCUGAUGUAAGUCAGGAACCCUGAACCGACUGUCAGGAUUCACCGAAGCAAAACUCCAGAGAAAAAUAUACAAAACAAUGAGACGCAUCUCAAUUCUACCACAUCAAAAAGGAGUAAAUAUCCAACAAAAAAAUCUCCUACAUGUUCUAGAAAAACAUGGAAAUUUCUGAAUUUGAAAAGUAAAAAAAAUAUGCUAGAAAA